rnacentral:rRNA from 1 species
AUUGAACGCUGGCGGCAGGCCUAACACAUGCAAGUCGAACGAGUGGCGGACGGGUGAGUAAAGUCUGGGAAACUGCCCGCUGGAGGGGGAUAACUACUGGAAACGGUAGCGCAUACCGCACACAAUCGCAUGUGCACAGAUGGGAUUAGCUUGUAGGUGGGGUAACGGCUCACCUAGGCGACGAUCACUAGCUGGUCUGAGAGGAUGACACGCCAAACUGGAACUGAGACACGGUCCAAACUCCGACGGGAGGCAGCAGUGGGGAAUAUUGCACAAUGGGCGCAAGCCUGAUGCAGCCAUGCCGCGGGUAUGAAGAAGGCCUUCGGGUUGUAAAGUACUUUCAGCGGGGAGGCGUUACCCGCAGAAGAAGCACCGGCUAACUCCGUGCCAGCAGCCGCGGUAAUUC